CUUUUACUCCCUUCGUUCCGAAUUACUUGUUUUGGAUUUGUCUAGAUACGGAUGUAUCUAGACUCAUUUUAGUGCUAGAUACCUCCGUAUCUAGACAAAUCUAAGACAAGUAAUUUGGAACGGAGAGAGUACUUG
rfam:Triticum aestivum genome assembly, contig: Triticum_aestivum_CS42_TGACv1_scaffold_556323_7AL